UACGACUACAUAUCAGGCAUAUCAAUAAGCGGAGGAAAAGAAACUAACUAGGAUUCCCCUAGUAACGGCGAGUGAAGCGGGAAGAGCUCAAAUUUGAAAUCUUAAAGGGUUUCCCUUGACGAAUUAUAGUUUAAAGAAGUGUUUUCUGUUGGAAUUUUCGGUAAAAGUUCUUUGGAAUAGGACAUCAUAGAGGGUGAGAAUCCCGUAUUUGACCGUUACUUUCCAGCUGUGUGAUACACUUUCAAAGAGUCGGAUUGUUUGGGAAUGCAGUCCAAAAUGGGUGGUAAAUUUCAUCUAAAGCUAAAUAUUGGCGAGAGACCGAUAGCGAACAAGUACCGUGAGGGAAAGAUGAAAAGAACUUUGAAAAGAGAGUUAAACAGUACGUGAAAUUGUCAAAAGGGAAGCGUUUGACACCAGUGUUGUUUUCUCGAAAAUCAAUUAAAAAUGACUGGAUUUUGUGUUGUAUUGACUUUAUCAGCCUUCUGCACUUUUCUCUUGUCUUUUUAAUGCACUUUUCGUUUAACAAGUCAACAUCAAUUUCUUUUGUUGUAAAAGGGUCAUUGGAAGGUGGCUUUCUCUUCGGUAGAAAGUGUUUAUAGCCUUUGACUUCUGCAAUCGGAGAGAUUGAGGUCUGCAGCGUAGAUCCUUCGGGGUUAGAUACAUUUGUGCUAAGUUAUAGUUUUUCAUAGACAACAUGUUGACUAUGAUUAAUCAUGUAGCUUACUCGCUUAUGCUAUUUUACCUACGCUUAGGAUGUUGACGCGCGUGUGUGCGUG
rnacentral:rRNA from 1 species